CAACGGUGAGACACCCAGACGCCGCGCCACAAACUCCCGCACCAAGCAUCCCCCGAUCUAAAAACGGUUUCAUCUGAGACAUCGCCAAAGCCACCUACACAGGUCCAGUGAAGUUCAAGAAAUAACACCGCAUCUAUCGACUGGGCAAAUUUGCAAUCUUCACUGAGUUCAAUAAGUUUCGAUGACAACUAUUGCUUUACUGGACAGCAUGUUCUGUGAUUAUUGACAUACAGAUGUUGGCCAGGACACCACUCUUCAAUGAUUCCAAUAACAUCAGGAGAUCUUUAGACCCACCAGGACCCCAGUUUAAUUCCCAAUCUGAGAAAGAAGCACUGUCUCAGUGCUGCACUGAAAUGUCAGUCUGGAUUUAUGUGCUCACACCUCUGUAUGAGACUUGAAUCCAGGACCCUGUGAAAUGCUCUCAUGUAAAGUGCUCAGCUCAAUACAUCACAGAGACAUCCCUCCCCACCAUCGAAAGUAUCUACAUGAGGCUUUGCCUCAAGAAGACAACAUCUAUCAUCAAAGGUCCCCACCAUCUGGGCCAUGCCAUCUUCUCACUGCUAUCACAGGCAAAAGGUACAGAAGCCUGAAGUCCCACACCACCAGCUUCAAGAACAGCUACUUCCCUUCAACCAUUUGGUUCUUGAAGCAACCUGCACAACUCUAAUCACUACCUGAGUAGAGCAACACUAUGACCACUUUGCGCUACAAUGAACAUUUUUUUAAACUAAUUGUGUUCUUCCUUGUAUAAUUUUGUAUAAUUUAUGUUUAAUUUGUGUUUUUCUUGUGAACGUUGUCUCUCUAAUGCUGUGUGCCUGUGAUGCUGCCGCAAGUUUUUCAUUGCACCUGUGCAUACAUGUAGUUGUGCAUGUGACA